GCAAUUAAGGCUGAGCUCCACAAGUACGGGGGAAGUAAGCUGUUUCUCUUCCCCAGCCCAGCACAAGAAAGGCUCCCCACUGGCCACGCCAACAACCGUGUGGAAGUGUCAUUCCCCUUCCUGAGUCCCCACCAUGUCCUGAAUGAGGGAGGAUGAGCAAUAAGCCUCUACAUUUCAUUUCGGCAGUAAUCCACGGUGCAGCUUUUCCAGCGCAGCUCUGCCACCUCCCUCCCUUUCCUUUCAAGCCAAGCUGGAGCGACAAGCCUGGGUGGGGAGAGCCUGAACAAUGAACACGGCCAAAAUGUGGAAACUUCCCUAGGCGCUUAGCAGGGGAAAAAAAGCAGAAGAAAGAAAAAGGAAGAAAAAAAAAAAAAGGCUCUGAUCAGACUGUGCAAGCAGUAAACCAGCAGCAUCGCCCUGUGAAACACAAGUUUUCCAUGCCCUGUCAGAGAGAGGUUUUAAUUAGGGUCUCCCAAUGCUAAUUGCUCUUGAUUCCUCUAGUGGUUUUACUUAAGGCACCCAUUUUAACAACCACACAAGCGAACCUGUAGCUGGCUCCACGGCAUAUUAUUUUAGCUCUCAGAAAGCACCCCAAGAAGGAUUAGGAUUGAUAAUAAAACCCAAUCGAUACUUUCCCCCUUCUCCUCCUUGAGAUCAAAGGCACUGAGCAGGAGGAAGAGUCCCAACCCAUCCUUACUGGGGGAGGACGGAGACAGGAGAGCAGGAAACAAGAAGACAAUGCGCCAUCAAAGCUGCCGCAAGGUGUUGGAUCAAUGACAACAUCUGCGUGAGGGUCUGGGCUACAAUAGAGGCUGUUACCAUGGGAACGGGCGCAAAAGCAUCAGGAGGGAGGGAGCAGGCGAUGAUGAAAGGUGGGAAAGCGGGAGAGAGUAUUUUUAGAUCGCUUAGGAGGAACGCUACACAAUGACAUCAUCCUAUCUCAUUAUUUGCACCCGUGCUGUAAAACGCAUUGUGGCGUCUGCCCCAGGCUGUUAAAUGGGAAAAUGUUAUUAUGGAUGUGAAUUAUAAAUACUGUGGUGAAACCUGAGCUCAGGAGUUAUUAGACAUCACUAUUCUGUAAUAAAGGAGAGCAUUUAAUACACUGUGCUGUACAGAGUCACUGUACGGUGCAAGAAGCAUUGUGUCUAGGAUUUUAAUAUUCUCAGAAAGUAAUUAUGAGUCAUCCUUUUAUUGUUAUUAAGAAGCGGAGUGCAAAUAAUUUUACACAUUUGAUAUCCCACACAUCAACAAGCCUUUUGCACUGGAGAAACAUGGCCUAAUUUUCCAGAGCGCUGCCUGCCAACGUGCUCCGAGUGAAUGUGGUAGUAGUCGUGGGUGCUCAGCACUGCCAAAAAUCCAGCCAUCCGUGUCACAUGCGAAAGAAGCCUCAUUAAUCUCGAAAAUACAAAGUGUACGUUUCACUGCCUGUGUUCAGCUCCUUCGGCAGGGCCAGACCCCUCUUACAGCUAACGACCCAGUAGAUACCCAUGGCAUCUGCUGAAUAUAGCCCUGGUUCGGGGGGCGGGGGGGGGGAAUUCUGGCUCUCAGGCACGGCUCCCGGCGGACAAACAGAGGAGAAAGCCUCCAGCCUGGAGAGGUGAAACAAGCCGGGGUUCGUCCGCCUUGCGCCGGGACGCGGGUGCCCGGAGCCCACCACCCUGGCGAGGCUGGAAUCGCUAUUCCCGUCAUGCCGCCGGAAGGAUAAACCCAGAGGAACGUGUUUCUUGUGGCUGCAGAAGUCUGAUCCUGCUCUCUGCCCUGGAAUAACCAUCGGUUAUUCGCCAGAGCGUGUCGGGGGCCACCGGGGCCUGUCACCGGAGAUGGGCAGGGACUGAAAUUCCCAACCCGCGCCGACACCCGCCGACGCUGCCAAAAUACCGCCGGGCGAGCGACGGGGCCGGCCCGAGCUUUCGCCCUGUGCGAAGCGAAACACGUGGGUCCUCAGACGUCUGUUUUCGCCCUCGGGACUAACCCCCGCCUCAGCGGGCGAGAGCGAGCAGGAGGAGGGUAACCGCCGCGGUGCCGGGCCCCGCGGCCGGGGGAGCGGGCACGGGGCAGGCAGCAGCGCACAGGCCGGCGAGGCGCGAGCUAGGCCGAUGGCACGCCGCGGCGAUCCUCCUGGACGAGCUCCAUAUACCCCCCCUCGCCCGCCGCCCCCCGCCGCGGUGGCCCCCCUCGUCCCAAGGGCGCCGGCGGGCGCGGGUGGGCCGGGGGCCCCGGCCUCCCCUGCCCUGCCGUAAAAGGCACUGGUGCGCAGCCCGGCCAACUGGGGAAACAGAGCAAGAAAUAGCACGGAGAUGAUGGCGGAUGAGCAGAAAUACACGCGAGCCAGGGACUUGCCCCCUGGCUGGAGGCCGGCGUUGCUUAAAGCGAGGACAACAGGUAGCAAAACCUGGUUUUUUAUUUUUGUGUUACCCUGCGGUCAUGGUGUGCAACUCUUCUCUCUGUUCAAGCUCUCCUUCCUCACAGAAGAUGUGACUCUUUAAAUAUAUAAUAAAUAGUGAAACAUGCUGAUGUGUGUGUGCGCUACUUCUGAUCCGUCUUCGGGAGGAGAAGAUGAACGUUACCCAACACAGCGUAGCUCAGACUGCCAAGGGUCCCAUAGGGCACGUCUGCAAAGCAGGACUAGGAAAGGUGAGUGAAUUUAGCUGAGCCAGAAAUAACAACACCUGAAGACAUUUUCUUUCCUAGUCUAAAUACGACUUUCUAGCUCCAGCAUCCCUGAGCCUGUUGUACUUAAAUCUCCUGACUUAACUAGACCAUGCCUGAAACAGCAGCCUUUUUUAUGGUAUCAUUGGCUAACUUGACCUAUUCUGCACAUUGGCUUCAUUCAGCUUAACCUCACCCCCCUUUCCUAGUUAAGCUAGUGCCCAGCACAAUGCUGAAUAACUUUUGCUUUCUUCCUGGCAGCUCUUUUUUGGCACUUCUCAUUUUAUUUUAUUUUUGAGGAAGGAGGUUAGGGUUCUACAUCUUACAAUAUUAGUGUUGGAUAUAGAUGAAACAAUAUUUCAUACAACUUAUCAUUUAAUUUGUAUUAUAUGUUAGCUUUGGCAGGGCAGGCAUUGUAGUCAUGCCAGUAGAGAAACUUUGAUCUGAAUGAGUGUAAAACCCAGCCAGGCUUGAAGUAGGGUUGCAGAAAAUAAUUUCAAAUAUUAAAAAUCUGGCAUGUGCUUUUUGGGGUACAGGUGCUGGUGGUGCCUGAAAUAUCCCAUUUUAUAUGAGGCAUGACCUCUCUGCAAAAAUCAAGGACCAUUUUAGGACAACGUACAACUUGGGAUGAGGAGUCACUCUGGACACGUGUGGAAUUCACCAGACACAUUUUGGGCACUGCCCCAACCUGAAUCACAGCAGUUGUGGACAUGUACGGCUUGAGGGACCUCCAGAGAUCAUCCAGCCCCUCUUCCCCUCCCCUUCCCUCUCUUCCUGUCUGAUAUCCCUGUCUGAUAUUUGUUUAACCUUUUUAAAAUAUCUUUGGUGACAGGAACAGCCCUCUGCCAGGGCUAACCUCUCCUGCUGGUUACAGCAUGUUUUUCCUUUAGCUCUAACUCAACUCACUCUCACCGAGAAACAGCUCACCUUCUCCUCUGCCUACCUGAAGACUAGUUGGUCUAAUGGCAAUCUUUACAUAUGUGACAUGUUGCCAGGUCUGCCCUCAUCCUCCACUCUUCCAGCCUGGACAAACCGGCUCUUUCAACCUUUUCCUAUAAGCCAUGUCUUCCAGGCUACCACCAUGUCCUGCUCUCUUCUGCGCUUGCCUGCAUCGUCCCUGGAGAAGUGGGAUGACAUCCUCUGCCCAGCUCAGCCCUGAGGAGGGAGGAAUGAUGAUUUCCCCAGCCCCACAUCUGGCGUGACCACUGGCACCUCCCGGUUGGCCCCUUCCCAGUCCCGGACCACCAGCUGCUGCCUUGCCUGGACCUCCCCUGCUCUGCUGCUGCUGGACCAGCCCUUCCCCACGGCAUCGUUAUCCGCUUGAGUCCUCCUUCUAAGUGUGUGCUGUGCACUGCCCUGUAUUGAAUUUCAUUUUAUUGAUCUCAGACUAUUUCUCCCAUUUGUCAAGACCACUUUGAUUUCUAGCCCUCCAAAGUGCUUGCAAAGUGUGCUUCCCCACCUGGAGGUACCCACAGAUUUUAAAGUGUGCUUUCUAUCCCAUUACCCUCCUCGUUAAUAAAUAAUAGCAGCACGA